rnacentral:tRNA from 1 species
GGAGGCGUGGCUGAGUGGUUGAAAGCGGCGGUCUUGAAAACCGUUAGAGGCCGUAAGGUUUCUCGAGGGUUCGAAUCCUUCCGCCUCCG